rnacentral:rRNA from 1 species
AUGGCAGCUGGGCCGCUGGAGCUAUGGAACGACCAGUCGAUGCAGAUCUUGGUCCUCCUAAGCCUCGGGCUCCAGCUCGUCCUCUUCGUCUUCGCCGGUGUCCGCCGGCGUGAAGCCCUCCUCGUGCCGAGGUUAUUCCUGUGGCUGGCGUACCUCAUGGCUGACUCCACCGCCGUGUAUGCCGUGGGCCACCUGUCGUUCAGCGGCGCUGUGCGGCCCGUGCGUGAGCACCAGCUCGUUGCGUUCUGGGCGCCUUUCCUGCUGCUGCACCUCGGCGGCCCGGACAACAUCACCGCCUACGCGUUCCAGGACAACCAGCUCUGGCUCCGCCACCUCCAGAUCCUCGUCGUGCAGGUCCUCGGAGCGGCUUAUGUCCUGUACAAGCACAUCGCUGGUGGUAGCAGCGGGAGCUUGCUGCGGCCUGCCUCCGCUUUGAUGUUCAUCGUCGGCGUUGUCAAGUAUGGGGAGAAGACGUGGGCGCUCAAGUGCAGCACCCUGGAGAGCAUGGGCGCCUCCGUCAAGACGCAGCCGCCGGCCAUCCACAACCAUUUCCACCCUCAGGACGGAGCCACGGAGGAGGAGUUCAAUCUGAGACGAGCCCACUCGUUGUUCCACAUCUGCCAGCACGCCAUCGUCGACUCCUCAGUGGUCGAGGAGGAUUCCAGCCUAAAUGAGCACACCACCGUGCAUAGCCAUAGAGGAAUACAGGGCGUCGAGCUGUGGACGCUGAUGGAGAUCGAGCUCUCCCUCAUGUACGAUGUCCUCUACACCAAGGCGGCCGUGGUCCAUACGUUCUUCGGCUACAUAAUCCGCUUCGUCUCGCCGCUUGCCGUCACCACCUCGCUGCUGUUAUUCUGGUUCGCCGCCAAGGAUGGCCACAAGAGAGCCGACGUGGCCAUCACCUACGUCCUGCUGGGUGGCGCCGUCUUCAUGGAGACGAUGUCGCUCGUGAACGCGCUAGCAUCGUCUUGGACGUUCGCGUUCCUGAGCACAGCCAGGUGGCAAUGGCUUCGCUACACAGCCCUGUGCAACAAAAGAUGGGACAAGCUCCGGCGCGCGGUUGUGUGGCUUCACCAUCUUGUCAAGGGAGGUGCUGCUGGUGAUAGUAGGUACAGAUCAAGAAGGUGGUCGUACACCUUCGGGCAGUACAACUUGUUGCACUUCUGCACACGACCCGCCGACACACCGUUCACCAGCCCUCUGCUCGGUAGGCUGGCCAGGGCGCUGGGACUAAACGAGUGGUGGAACAGAAAGCACUACUCGGCGACAGUUAAGUUGUCGGAUUGGACCAGGCGUUGUAUCACACUGUACAUAAGGCAGUUGUUCGUCAAGGGAAACUUCAAAACAGGCAUGCUCAGGAAGAAGUGGGGCGAGAACCCGCUGGAGAGCCGUGGGCUUUACCGCGGCGUCCUCAAGGACUCCCUCGGCUUCGAGUUCCAGGAGGGCGUCAUCAUAUGGCACAUCGCCACCGAGGUCUUCCUUGCCAAGAGCAGGAGAGCAAGAGCCGUGGAUGCCGCGCCUGACGUGCAUGCUAUUAGGGUGAUGUCCGACUACAUGAUGUUUCUUCUAGUGGAUCGUCCCUACAUGCUGCCAGGCCAGCCCCAAAAGAAGUUGUACCUGCGAACCUGCGAGAGGCUGGUUGCCAUGCGAUCGGAUGAUCGUAGGUACCUGAGUCGUGCACGCAUCAAGGAUUUGUUCCGUGUCCAUGAUGGCCCAAACUCUAGCAGUUUCAGGGUCGCCGAGAGAAAGGAGCUCGUAAACAACCUGCACGAUAAUUACAAAAAACAAGAGUAUGACGAAGUUGCUCUUCGUCUCAUUCACAUGGCUCGAGUGGCCGAGGAGCUACUGAAGGAGUGUGAUGGCACGACCGACUCCUUGAAGCUUGUCCUUGAAAUGUGGAUGGACUUUCUUAUUUACGCGAGCCACAAGUGCAGCAGGGAGUCCCAUGCCCAGAAGCUCAACAGUGGUGGUGAGCUUACAACCAUAGUGUGGCUUAUGGCAGAACACAUGUACCAGGCAUUCGUUGCAGAAAAAUAUGACAUGGUAUAA